UACGAAGGGGGCUAGCGUUGUUCGGAAUUACUGGGCGUAAAGGGCGCGUAGGCUGUGCUGUAAGUCAGGCGUGAAAGGCCCGGGCUCAACCUGGGAAUGGCGCAUGAUACUGCGGCGCUGGAAGGCGGGAGAGGAUGGCGGAAUUCCCAGUGUAGAGGUGAAAUUCGUAGAUAUUGGGAAGAACACCGGUGGCGAAGGCGGCCAUCUGGCCCGCAAUUGACGCUGACGGCGCGAAAGCGUGGGGAGCAAACAGG
rnacentral:rRNA from 1 species